rnacentral:lncRNA from 1 species
AAUGAAAGCACGCGAGACGGCUGCUGCGGGUGUUGGAACAGAUAAAAAGGGUAGCGUACCACUGCCGGCGUCACUUCACUUUUCUGCUCGCAUAGAAAACAGACAACCUUGCUCAGACUUCGACUUACGUGUCUCACCUCAUUUCAGUAAGAAAAUAAUAAUAUGGCUUUGGAAGGCAGCUACACCACCACCACCGUGCUCCUCGUGGCAGCAACAGGCGCCGUCGUGGCUUUUGUCGUAGGCUACAAGCUGGGACAGUCAAAGGGCAGCGGCAAAUAAGGUCAAGGUCGUGGUACAGAACACAAGUGUACAAGCGAAGUUGACAAGUUGACGAGUGCAGAAUGGAUGUCGAUUCAAAACUACGAGGGACUGGCGAAGAUCCUGAUUCAUUCUUUCGUCUUUCAUGAUGCGCGAAACAUGUCGUGUUUAUAAGGGAGGUUAUAGGUGAUGUAAGAUGACGGCACGAAAGUGAGAACGACUCAAAAUAGCGAGAAUGGAAAACAGAUUUUGAUUGGUGUGCUUGGCGUUUUUGUACUGUGAGAAUGAGUAGGCCUACAGAAAAAGGAACAGACAGACCGACAGACAGAUGGAGUGAAAGAGAAAUUUAUAUAUUAUCGAACAAUGUAACCCGUGGUCUUGUAAGCAAUGUAGAAUAAUAAAUUCUUCAACUGACAUUAUACA